AUGCCACUGAGACCUGCCUUCAAGAGAACCACUGUGAGGAGUGUGUCUGACUGACAACCUCCAGCUGCUGCAUUUGGAUCCUCUGAAGUGUUGUGCCGAGGCCACCACCUCAACAGUGUGCUCCUAGCCAGUGACUGAUCAUAGAAGUCUGUCUGGGCCAGUGAUGAGUGGCUGCUGAACAAGGCAAGAAGAUUAGAAAUAGUCCCAAGGACACAGGACUGUUUCAGACCUUGGUGUUUGUUGAUGCAGCAUCUUGGGCCUGUUCACAGGAUGAACAUCACCUCAUAUUUCAAGAUGUGUCUUAUGCCACGUAAGAAAAUAUUUGAAGAUUUUUCUGAACUUAUCUCUCCUCAGUGACAUUGACUGUCUUCUACUUGGUAUUCCAA